AUACGUAGGUGGCAAGCGUUGUCCGGAAUUAUUGGGCGUAAAGCGCGCGCAGGUGGUUCCUUAAGUCUGAUGUGAAAGCCCCCGGCUCAACCGGGGAGGGUCAUUGGAAACUGGGGAACUUGAGUGCAGAAGAGGAUAGUGGAAUUCCAAGUGUAGCGGUGAAAUGCGUAGAGAUUUGGAGGAACACCAGUGGCGAAGGCAGUUGCCUGGUCUUUAACUGACGCUGAGGCGCGAAAGCGUGGGGAGCAAACAGGAUUAGAUACCCUGGUAGGCCACGCCGUAAACGAUGAGUGCUAAGUGUUGGGGGGUUUCCGCCCCUCAGUGCUGCAGCUAACGCGUGAAGCACUCCGCCUGGGGAGUACGGUCGCAAGACUGAAACUCAAAUGAAUUGACGGGG
rnacentral:rRNA from 1 species